GGAGAAGUGGCUCAGCAGUUAAGAGUGCUUGGCUGCUCUUCCAGAGGACCUGAGUUUGAUUCUCAGCACCUACA
rnacentral:tRNA from 1 species